rnacentral:piRNA from 1 species
UAAGAAGGGCACACCUGUUGCAGA